CACGUUCCCAUACGAUCACUGAAGUUGAGCAAUGUUAAGCCUGGUCAGUACCUAGAUGGGUGACCACUUGGGAAUACCAGGUGCUGUAAG